rnacentral:rRNA from 2 species
CCAAAAAUGGUUUUUACCUUUUUAGAUUUUAGUUUAUUUUAUUAUGGUAUACCUAAUUAUUAUAAUUGUUAUUAAUCAUGGGAGUUACAGCGCAAGCCAGUUAACAAACUUAACUUACUAUAUAACUAUAAGCUUAAUAAAGAUUUACUUUGAGGUAAAUAAGGUGCCAGCAACCGCGGUCAAACCUUUAUCAAUAUUAUAAUUUAACUAAAUAAGGAAUUUAUGGUUUAAAUUAAAUCUAUCCUUUUAAGUGAAAUUAAAGUUUUUUUCAAUUUUAAUAAAACCUAUUUGAAAAAAAAUCUUUUGUUAAACUAGGAUUAGAGACCCUACUAUAAUGAUUUUGUUCUUACUUAUUAAGGAAUUACGCUUCAAUUAAAGCUAAACCUAAAUAAUAUGGCGGCUAUGGUUACUUCUUAGGGGAACUUACCAGGUAAAUGAUACCCAUCAAGACAACCUUCUUUAUUUCCUAUAAGUUUGUAUGCCGUCGUCAUCAAAAUAUAUAAAAAAUAUGUUUUAAAGAUUAAAAACUAAUAAAAUGACAGAUCAAGGUGCAGCUAAUAAUAAAGAUUCUAGGCGAGUUACAAUAAUUUUAUAUUACGGUCACAAGCAAAUUAUCUACUUGUGUAAGUUGGACUUAAAAGUAUAAAAGAAAUUUAAAACAAUUUUUGAAUGAAUGUUUCUAUAGUGU